rnacentral:tRNA from 1 species
GCGGGCUUAGUUCAGCCGGAAGAAUCGCCGCCAUCCUGGCGGCAGCCGCAGGUUCGAUUCCUGCAGCCCGCUCCA